UAAGGUAAUGUGGUAAAGACCACUUUACCAGUAGAUUUGAAACUUGUUUCAUUUUUUAAUUUUGAAUUUAUGAACUUUUUUUUUUACCUUUUUAUUGAUUGUUUUGCUUGACUGGAACAAAAUAUGAGUUUUCUCUUAAUACCUAAAAAAAAAAAAACAGUGUAUACUGACCUUACACUGUUUUUUCUUUGUGGAUAUUUUUUCCUUCCUGAUGAGCAGAAGAGUGCUUGAUGGUUUCAGAGACGCCCGCAGAACAACAGUGACGUCUUUCAGCCUUUAGAACAAUCACCAGACUGCAAUGUUUUUGACCAGACGAUUAUCACAGCUGAGUCUGGACAGGACGUUACUCUGUCAUGUCGAGCUGCAAACAAUAACAAACCCAUCAUAGUGGUGAAGUGGAGCAGACGUGACCUGAAUGGACAUUAUGUCUUGAUGUACCGGGAUCAGCAAUUUGUCCCAGAUGAGCAGCAUCCAUCUUUUGAGAACCGGGUGGAUCUGCAGGACAGACAGAUGAAGAAUGGAGACGUGUCUCUGAUUCUGAAGGAUGUGACGACUGCUGAUAACGGAACAUAUGAGUGCCAUGUCGUCCAGGGAGUCAAACAACCUUUGAAGCUCAUCAGCAUCAUCGACCUCAGAGUUGAUCCUCCAGGUCAGACAGGAGGACACCCAGGGGUUGGACCUGUUGGACUGAUAGUUGUUCUGAGUGUUUCUGCUGUGCUUCUUGUUGUUGGUUUUUGAUCCACAUAAAACAUAAAAAGACACAGAGUCAUGUCUCACACAGGCCUGCUGUUGAUCAGCAGCUGUUUGAAACAUCAGACUGAUUUAGUGAUGUUUUCUGUGUUGUUGGAGAAAUAGAAACAAAGAAACAAUAGGCAAAAAUGCAUGAUGCUAAACGUCAAUCAAACAUGUUCACAAUUAACAUUACAACUGUAAAAUAAGAAUAACCUGAGGCAAACAGCAGCAGACAUAUUUACUUCACCAUUCAUUCCCCUACCAAGCCUAACCUAAGUCUUGGCUAAUAUUCUGUAAUCAUUAUUGGGCUACUCAAAAAAGUAAUAUACUACACAUUAGUCAUCAUCUUUCCUUUAUUUCAUACCAAAGAAAGUCAUUUGUUACAUCUGUUUUGCAUUACUCUGCAAAAUGACCUGGAACUCAUUGUCUAAAAAUGAUAAGUUAAAAAUAUAAACCUGAGGAUAAAUUGAGGAUAAGAUGAAAUCAGCUGAGUGUAGCGCAAGUUCUCAUGACAAAAAGAACAUGAAUUUUUGUGUUCGCUUCUGUCUGUCCAACAUGAGCGCAGAUUAAAGACCCCCUUGUAGUAACAAGAAAUAAUGUUAUUACUGAAUUUAGUACGGUCACAUGUUACAUUACUAAUUUACAGAAAAAUGCACUGUGAUUACUUUAAUUACUUUGGAACACCGAGCACUGGCUGUAACUGAGGGACAGAAAACCAAGACGCUAAAACAAACAUUUCAAUCCAUUGCAAAUGACCACGGCAGAUCUUAACAGUUUUGAAAUCACUAACUAUAACUAAAACACUAACACAAAAAUCAGAAAAUCACAUGUGAACACACUGAAAUAUCCAAAGACACAUGUUAAAUGAAGCACCUUUUGGACCCACCUUUAAAAGAACAAACAGUAAAAACCCCUCAAAACAAAUCAAACCCACUCCCACCAGAGUCAGACCAUCACCUCCUGAAGUUUCCACAGUAUAGCAAAACCUGUUUGCCAAAAACACAGCAGAGAGCAGAAAUCUGCACCAGUUACAUCACAUUUCUGUGAUUAUCAUCAAACCUGUUCAGACUCCGUUCUCUCUGUGAACUACAGUGUUUGUUCGUCUUCAGUAUUUUCAUGGAUCCGUUUUAUAUAAUCUCAGUAAUUUUGCUUCUGUGUACUGUAUAUGAAAUGUAAUAGUAAUUAUCGAGCCAGCGAACAUUUUUGUUUCAGCAGCUGUUUGUAAGAUCAAACUUGUUGUGUGAGGUUUGGACGGCACAAACUGAUCCUCAUGCAGAGAUCCUUCCAUGACCUAAACAAGAGCUGUUCAGAUAUUAUGUAUCUUUUUUAAUCUUUUAUAUUGAAUUUUUAUUAAUGACUGAGGCUUAAUAUUGCAUCUGUUACUCUGUCAGUCUUUAUUAAUGUUUUUAUUUUAACAUAUUGCAUAAUAUGUCA